UUGGAGGGCAAGUCUGGUGCCAGCAGCCGCGGUAAUUCCAGCUCCAAUAGCGUAUAUUAAAGUUGUUGCAGUUAAAAAGCUCGUAGUUGAAUUUCGGGGUCAGUAGGCUGGUCGUGCCACAGGUAUGUACUGGUCUUACUGAUUCCUCCUUCCUGAUGAACCGUAAUGCCAUUAAUUUGGUGUUGCGGGGAGUCUGGACUGUUACUUUGAAAAAAUUAGAGUGUUUAAAGCAGGCUAACGCUUGAAUACAUUAGCAUGGAAUAAUGAAAUAGGACGAUCGAUCCUAUUUUGUUGGUUUCUAGGAUUGACGUAAUGAUUAAUAGGGAUAGUUGGGGGCAUUAGUAUUCAAUUGUCAGAGGUGAAAUUCUUGGAUUUAUUGAAGACUAACUACUGCGAAAGCAUUUGCCAAGGAUGUUUUCAUUAAUCAAGAACGAAAGUUAGGGGAUCGAAGACGAUCAGAUACCGUCGUAGUCUUAACCAUAAACUAUGCCGACUAGGGAUCGGAUGAUGCUAAUUUUUUAAUAACUCAUUCGGCGCCUUACGGGAAA
rnacentral:rRNA from 1 species